rnacentral:misc_RNA from 1 species
AAGUCGUAACAAGGUUUUCGUAGGUGAACCUGCGGAAGGAUCAUUAAAGAGUUGCACUCCUCCGGGAGCCACCUCCACCCUUGCAAGCAAAAUUCUGUUGCUUUGGCGGGCCGCGGCCCUGCCGCCACCGGCUCAGGCUGGUGCGCGCCCGCCGGAGACUUUAAAUUCUUUUAUGUGACGUCUGAGCAAGAAAAUCAAUGCAAAAAAACUUUCAACAACGGAUCUCUUGGUUCUG